GCCGCUCCCACAAACGUCUACGACCGCACCUACAUAGUUGUGUAUAUUUACAAUUCUAAUUUUGUACAGCCAAUCAGGUUCUUGGUAACAAUUACAAUUAAACGUCGAUUGGCUGUUUAAAAUUAGAAUUGUAAACAUGCAAAAAUAUGUAGGCGCGGCCGUAGACGUUUGUGGGAGUGGU
rnacentral:miRNA from 1 species